AAAAUAAAUAAAUAUUUAAAAACUUUAAAAAAUAUAAAAUGAAAAAUUAUAAAAAUAAAAAUAAACAAAUUAACAUGCACUUACCUUUGAAAAUCUUCGUGGCUGAUGUGAGGGAGACAUAAGAGAGGAGGGUUAUUAUGUAGGAUAACUUUCA